AUGCACCACGGGUCUCUCCUGGAGGCGCUUCCCGGUGACAAUGUUGGCUUCAAUGUCAAGAACGUUGCUGUGAAGGAUCUGAAGCGUGGGUUUGUUGCAUCCAACUCCAAGGAUGAUCCUGCCAAGGAGGCAUCCAACUUCACCUCCCAGGUUAUCAUAAUGAACCACCCUGGUCAGAUUAGCAACGGUUACGCCCUGGUGCUGGACCGCCACACCUCCCACAUUGCUGUCAAGUGUGCUGAGGUGGUGACCAGGAUUGACAAACGAUCUGGUAAGGAGCUGGAGAUGAUUCCCACAAAGCCCAUGGCUGUGGAGACCUUCACCACCUACCCUCCUCUUGGCCGUUUCACUGUGCAUGACAUGAGACAAACUGUUGCUGUUGCUGUUGCUGUCAUCAAGGGCGUGGAGAAGAAGGACCCUACCGGUGCCAAGGUUACAAAGGCUGCCUGCCAUCAAGAAGAAAUGAGUGCUUCAGUAUCUGCCAUCGAGUUAUCUAGCAGAAGUUGUAGUGUAAAGUCCUUUCUUGGAGAAUUUUUAGUGUCCGUUAAAAUAUCCAAGUAUUUGUUUCAGCAUAUGGUGCUCCUGUGUGAUGUUCAGAAAGUUAAUUCAAACAUAGAUGAGUGUAAACGCAAAUAUCUGGUCAUGCACAAUUUUCCUUCAAAAGGAACAUCAAAGGACAUCCCAUUGCAAUAA
rnacentral:rRNA from 1 species